GGGAGCCGUAUGAGCUGAAAGGUUCACGUACGGUUCUGCGAGAGGCUAUCGGGGAGGUUCCGAUGGCCUACUCACC
rnacentral:ncRNA from 1 species